rnacentral:rRNA from 1 species
CCUACGGGAGGCAGCAGUGAGGAAUAUUGGUCAAUGGGCGGGAGCCUGAACCAGCCAAGCCGCGUGAGGGAAGAAGGUACAGCGUAUCGUAAACCUCUUUUGUCAGGGAACAAAGGCGGGGACUAGUCCCCGGAUGAGGGUACCUGAAGAAAAAGCAUCGGCUAACUCCGUGCCAGCAGCCGCGGUAAUACGGAGGAUGCGAGCGUUAUCCGGAUUUAUGGGGGUUAAAGGGUGCGCAGGCGGCCUGUUAAGUCAGCGGUAAAAGCCCGGGGCUCAACCCCGGCGAGCCGUUGAAACUGGCGGGCUGGAGUUGGAGAGAAGUACGCGGAAUGCGCGGUGUAGCGGUGAAAUGCUUAGAUAUCGCGCAGAACCCCGAUUGCGAAGGCAGCGUACCAGCUCCACACUGACGCUGAGGCACGAAAGCGUGGGUAUCGAACAGGAUUAGAUACCCCAGUAGUC